rnacentral:rRNA from 1 species
UUCCGGUUGAUCCUGCCAGAGGUCACUGCUAUCGGGGUUCGAUUAAGCCAUGCGAGUCGAGAGGGUUCGGCCCUCGGCGUACUGCUCAGUAACACGUGGAUAACCUGCCCUAGGGGAGGGGAUAACCCCGGGAAACUGGGGAUAAUACCCUAUAGGUUACAGAUGCUGGAAUGCCCUGUAACCAAAAGCUCCGGCGCCCUAGGAUGGAUCUGCGGCCGAUUAGGUUGUUGUUGGGGUAACGGCCCAACAAGCCCGUAAUCGGUACGGGUUGUGGGAGCAAGAGCCCGGAGUUGGAUUCUGAGACACGAAUCCAGGCCCUACGGGGCGCAGCAGGCGCGAAACCUUUACAAUGCGGGCAACCGUGAUAAGGGAACCUCGAGUGCCUGUAAACGCAGGCUGUUCAGGUGUUUAAAACGCACCUGGAGAAAGGGCCGGGCAAGACCGGUGCCAGCCGCCGCGGUAAUACCGGCGGCUCGAGUGGUGGCCGCUUUUAUUGGGAUUAAAGCGUU